rnacentral:rRNA from 1 species
CGGAGGGUGCGAGCGUUGUCCGGAAUCACUGGGCGUAAAGGGCGCGUAGGUGGCCGAGCAAGGUCGCGGUGAAAGCCCGGGGCUCAACCCCCGGGUCGGCCGUGGCAACUACUGGGCUGGAGCACUGUAGGGGCGGGUGGAAUUCCGGGUGUAGCGGUGGAAUGCGUAGAGAUCCGGAAGAACACCGGUGGCGAAGGCGGCCCGCUGGGCAGUUGCUGACACUGAUGCGCGACAGCGUGGGGAGCAAACAGGAUUAGAUACCCUGGUAGUCCACGCCGUAAACGAUGGGUACUAGGCGCUUGGGGGAGCGACCCUCCGAGGGCCGGCGCUAACGCAUUAAGUACCCCGCCUGGGGAGUACGGCCGCAAGGCUG